rnacentral:rRNA from 1 species
GUACCCCAAACCGACACAGGUGGUCGGGUAGAGAAUACCAAGGCGCUUGAGAGAACUCGGGUGAAGGAACUAGGCAAAAUGGUACCGUAACUUCGGGAGAAGGUACGCUCUCGACGGUGAAGUCCCUUGCGGAUGGAGCUAUUGAGAGUCGCAGAUACCAGGUGGCUGCAACUGUUUAUUAAAAACACAGCACUGUGCAAAAUCGUAAGAUGACGUAUACGGUGUGACGCCUGCCCGGUGCC